UACGUAGGGAGCGAGCGUUGUCCGGAUUCAUUGGGCGUAAAGAGCUCGUAGGCGGCUUGGUAAGUCGGAUGUGAAACCUCCAGGCUCAACCUGGAGUCGCCAUCCGAUACUGCCAUGGCUAGAGUCCGGUAGGGGCCCACGGAAUUCCUGGUGUAGCGGUGAAAUGCGCAGAUAUCAGGAGGAACACCGAUGGCGAAGGCAGCUCACUGGGACGGUACUGACGCUGAGACGCGAAAGCGUGGGGAGCAAACAGG
rnacentral:rRNA from 1 species